GGAAAGCCCAUAGCUCAGUGACUGAGCAUCUGCUUUGCAUGCAUAAGGCCACAGGUUCAAUCCCUGGUGUCUCCA